AGGUAACCGCGAAAGCAACUUCGACGAAACAGCAACCAAUCAACUAAAAGCGAAAUAUGGUUCCCGGAAUCGUUUGCAUUGGCCAUUCGUUAAAAAGGUUUCUCUCGAGCACGGCUGGGGAGUCAUAACUUUGCGAUUGUUUUGUAAUUACUUCUGCAAUUGCACGCCGUAAACUACAUUUUUUGAAUUGUGAACAUUCAGGGCCAAUCGUGUCCGAUUAUUCAUUGAACAAAAAUGAUAGAUAAUUAAUUAUCAAUCAUUAGACUGCUAUCCUCGGACGAAUGUCAACAACCGCGGUCUAGUAAUUAAUUAUCCAUUAAUCCUCGUAAUUGACUAUAUUUUAUCCAACAGUGUCCAAGUCUUUCGCUCUUAUCGCUUAUCGCUUCUUUGACGCGAAUUCGAAAACGUGACCGACGAGGACCUUGACAGGCGAUGCACAUUCCGCGAGCAACAAGUUGCAUCCUCCUAUCGGCACGUGACAACAGAUAGAAAUUCCAUUUCGCAUGUAAACGCACGAAAAAAUGGCUCUAUCAAAGUGUGGAAUUAAACGUUUAAUCGCACGCACUGCGCGUUCUAUCAGAGAGAGUCUCUUCGUCACUGGCGAUUAAGUGUUUCUGUGUGGUUCGUGACGGAGAUGAGCAUUUCUUAGAUAAAAGUAUUACUUAAACAACGAACCAGUAUUAAUAGGAGAGGGUACGAGGAACCCGGAUUUAAAUUUCUACCCAGUGGAACGUUCCAAGUUGAGAAGUAAACAACGAUCAAGGAAGAGGUUGAGAGACGACGAAGACGCGCCCGGAUGAGAUUCGUGCGGGGGAGGGCGCUGGAAUUAAAAUCGUAAACGUCAGAAACUAUUCAGCAUACGGUCUCUGAAUACCCGCGAUCCCUCUGCACCGACCUAUUUCCAACUAAAAAUAGCCAAUAGAAUGAUUGUGGCCGAAGCAACUCGUCCAUUCGACCACGGAGCGUGGCGAUUAAACGCGAAAAUCACCUUGCGCCCAAUUGCCGGCCUCCUCCGGUCUUCCUUUCAAUUCCCUCGCCUUUCUUUAUCCCGCUACGCGCUCGCCUUCCGUUUCGAAAGCACCGACCGUUUUGAUACUCGCGAUACAGCAGAACUCCAGCUACACGAUCGUUACAUUUCUAUCGAUCAGGAUUUCGUAUCGCGUAAAUUAAUGACUAAUACCCAUUCCUAUCUUCGUCACUUAUCGGGCGCGUUCUUUGCAGUCCACGACAGUUCGAGGUGGAAGGCCGCGAUAACAAGGCGCGAUAAUGGUUCUCAUAAUUGGCGAACGCGAAAAUAGUCGAAGAGCGAAUUAUUUCGCCAGUCGCUUAAUGAGCAGCUAUUAGAUAAUUUCGGAACGCGCGUUUUAUACGAACGACGGCGACCCAGCUGCGCACCUGCGGCAAGUGCAUGGGAAACCGACGGAAGACAAUCGAAAAAGACGCGGGAGGGUAAACAGUAAGUAACUCGUUCCUUAUUCAACCGACCAGAACCGCAGUCGUUUGUUUUCUCGCAUCUCGAGUAAAACCGGGAAACGAGCUGUCAGUGGCUCGUCUGAGUAAAACAAACAGCGAAUUGCAAUUGACGGACAGUGACAAGUCGGUAACUGGCUUUUCGAGAAUUGGCGUGCGCAACAAAUCAAGUCGAGUCGACGAGGAAGAAACAGGUAGCUAUAUCGACGCGAUUACGCAAUUCCGUCUCAGGGUACUCGUUGAGCGCAUCUCGCCGAUACUCAGAUAUCGAGGAUUCGGUUCGAUAAUUCUACUACAAUUCUUUUUUUUUUUUCCACGCGAGGAACCACCUCUUACCUAACAGACAGCAUCGAUGAAAACAGGAUUCGUCUCGGUCCCGCGCCUAUGUCACCUGUAAUCACCUAGAACCAUCUACGAUCGUAACUUAAGAAAAUAAAAAAAAAAAAAAGCAACGAGUAGGUUAAGAUACAUACAGUAUUACAGAAGUACAAUUAGAAUAAAAACAGAAACCAAUAUGAAGACUGAGGAUUGUUAGGUUGUAAGGAAAAAAUAUAUAUCUUCUAAAAAGAUUCUAUUUUCUUUUGUCUGUUAUACAAUAAAAUAUAUAUAUAUAUAAAAUAGACGAGUUACUAUUCCUAUAUAAAGUUUAUUAACAUACUAGAAUAAAGAGUAUGACAACCUCGACUUACAAAUUAAAGAGUUUAUUGUUAUGCCUUUCUUUAUUGCGAUUAGUUAUAAGAAGGAUAGCCAGUAAGAAUAGAGACUAAGAAGCAUUAAUGUAAAACGUUUAGAAGAGGAAAUAUAAAAAGAGAGCAGCACAUAGGAGUGCAAAGUACUACUCCGAAUGUACGCACUUUAAUUUAAUAAACAAGCAAAGAAACAAGUCAGUGCUGCCAUCUCCCAACACAAAAAGAUACAAAGACGUCGGUAACUCAGAAUGCGACUUGCUAGAUAAGGAAGGCCACUGUUCGGACGAUCGUCGAUAAUGUAAACAUCCUGUGUCGAUGUAAAAAAUCAUAAUGUUCGCAUUAAUUGAUUCAAACCAAUUGAUUUUUAAACUACCUCGACUUCGAAGUUGCACAUUCCGAUUCAACGACCGAAUACGAACACAAACAGGCCCCGAACUGUCUCUCGAUGACUCUUCAGUCCUCAAUUGGACCAAGGGACGCAUCAUUGCGUGCAUCCGGACACGUAUACCGAAAUCUUUUUCCAGGUUGCGCGAUACGAGCUGAACUCAGGAUUAAAAGGAAACGCUACGUCAAAACCAAUGUGAUGCACGUGACGCAACAACUUUCAUCACAUGCCCAUGAACGAUUCGUCGAAAAGUUGUGGCGACGUGAGACUCUGCUAUCGACACAUGUAAAUUCCAAUCGAUCAUUCUAUGUGUUUUAUUCAACACCCCAGCCGAAGAUCGAUUAAUUCUAUUCAACGGCGAUUUAUGCGUUUCGUCGAUAAAAAUUAAACUAGGGUGAAAAUGUCGAUCGAGUACGUAUUAAUUAAUAUAUCAAUUUUUACAACCGUUAACGCUCCUUCGAAGUCGAAAAAGAUUAUCCACAAAUGUUUUUCAUUGUUUUCUAAUCACCAGUAAGUAUCCCUGUAUCUCUUUGUCCUCAAAAGUGUAUCAACCGAGUGUAUCAAUUCGAAGUCGUUGGUUCAAGGAGUUUGGACGCUUCUGCGACUUUCAUUGUAUCAAAUUUGUUGGCGGCGAGACGCGUAUCGAAAUUUCCUCCGGGUUCGAGAAUAUCGAAGGUGAUGGUGAUACGCAGAAUCACGAGACCGGCACGAGAGGUCGAUGGUGGAAAAUUUUUCGCGCAAAUUGCGACUUGUUCAACGAUAAACUUUAAUCGCGAUGACUCCGAUAUGUCCGGGGGCCGAUUCGCCAGGAAAGAAACAAAAUCGUCCAGCGCAAUUGUGCAAGCCCAAUUACUUAAUUGUACGCGCUGACGUCGCGCGAGCGGCUCGGCCAAUCAGAAGCUGCAUAGCGAACGAACCCCUCGCGAAAAUCGACGGAAUGCGUAUCGCCGCGAUCCUCUUUAACGACGUUAUCCGCGAUUUCAAUCAUGCCGUUGCAUGGAGGCCUGAUGACGUUUCACUUUGCGCAAUCGAGACACGUGUCGACGUCAGAAGCCUGAAUAAUGCUUAAUUAAAAAGUUUUUUUUUUUUUUUAAAUUGUACGAGUAUAUUCAUACUUCGUUUCCAUAUUAUUUCAGGCGAUACUGUAUAAUUUAACUAGUUUUUAGUACGUCGAAAGUCACACUAGCGACGAAGUAAUGAAAAGAGGGAUCGAUGUCAAUUUAUGCAGAAGCUGCAUGUAUUUAAAUCACUCGUGAUUACGUGUAGCAAACAAUGAACGUUGCAUCAUACGCGCGAUUGUGAUUUUAUAACAUAAUAGCUUCUUCCUAUCAAUUGUAAACGACGUCAUCAUUUUGUCACAUUUUAUGAAAAGGUUAUAAAUUGUUAAUUUCUACUUAUCUUAAAUGUUCGCAACCUUCGUUAUGCUUAUUCGUAGACUUCAGUGGAAUAAUUUCAUUGGAAAAAAUCUAAGCUAACUUCAUUUAUCAGUUAUUUAUUUUAUCUAUCGACAUAAAUUUUCUACUCAAGAUAAAAUAAUUUCUUAUUAUUCGAUAUAGUACGUGUGUACAGGCUUGUGGAAUUAUCCUGUAUCAAUGUACAGUGGUGCGAGUAAUUCUAGGUUCAAAUUAAAAAUAUUAAGCAUUUACCGUUGAACCUAGAAUUAUUCGUACCCAUUGGGUUUCCAUCUCAAUUUAAUAUUUCAGUUCGUAGACCUUCGCAACCUUAGAGUGAACGAAAUGUCCUGAUGAUUUCUGAGAAUUAUUGCUUGUCCGCGCCAAGAAAAACAAUUUUAUUAAAGAAGACAACGUUACAUUCAAACGACGAUUGAAAGACGCAUUGAAAUCUAGGCCAACGACGGGACAAAAUAAAGUCGGCGCUGCCAAGAUUUACGCGAAUAUCUCAAAUGCUGGCGGUCGAGGUUCCCACCUUCGUGACGUUUCACACGCGCCAACGAUUCGUCACCUGUUGGUACACGAACCUCAGCAUCCCCGCCAUUUUGGUCGUACCAUCGCAAUUAAAACCGAACAAUUUACGAGCAUUCGGUCGAUUUUUCAUCAUCUCGAUCCCCUCGAUUUUAUACGAUUCUGUUUAGAAAUUCCAAAUGGCCGCAAGGCCUGCGCGUUGCUCAAGAUGAAUCGAACAGAUUUCUUCGCGGUUCGAUUUUCGAGUAAUCUGAGAUACCUGUAUUACUUGAGUCUGAUCUAUUUAUAAAUUUUCUUAAUCCAAUUAUUAUCGAGGUUUGAUAGCUCGAUUAGCGAGUCGGACAUGUUUGUUGUUGAUAGGGGCAAUAAACAAGAAAAAUUAGACAAGUAUGAAUUAUUAAUCGACGAUUAUACGGUUAAAAUAAUAGUAUUUUGAUAUAUCAAACAUAUCCUAAUAAUCGUUUACAAAAUAAUUAAAAAUUCAUACUCAACGAAGAAAUUUUUCCAUUAAUUGCUCUUAUCGUCGAAGAAAUAUUUCCACUCACUUAUCAAUCUUUUUUAUUACAUUAAUUAUCUCAUUUUUUGUCAUCUCUAGCAUUUCUGUGUCAAUCUAGGUUAGAUUAUUAAUGGUAGCUCGAUUCCACCAUUCACAUCGACCUGUGUAUGCCUUUUCCUCUCGUAUGGUGUCACAAAUUAUUAUCAUCUAUCCUUUAAACGCGCCAUCGUAAAAAGACCAGUGAACCCAUGAUGACGAAUCGCAAUGCUCUGUGUCGAUCCAAGUCUAAUUUCAGCGACGAGCACUUGCCACCUGCCUGACUGCAUCUCGGCGUUCCGUCUCUUGUGUGAUUUAUCGAGGCGUUAUAAUUGCUUUUCUAUACGUGUACGCAUUUGAGAAAGACGAUCUUAUAAAUUUUCAGUCAACACGUGAUUGUAAUUUAUAGGUACAACGAAUGAACUUAUAAAUGUAACAAAAUUACACAGGUUACGCUGUACACAUAUCUAUUGGGCUGUCUGGAAAGUCCAUGCCGAUUUUUAGUAGGUGGUACAGGUCUGAAUAUAUCGGAAUGGCUGAAAACAAAUAACAUGUGUACAUUCCUUAAGAGAUGGAAAGGUUGUGGAACAAAAUGGUACAUAUAUAAUUCAAUAAAUAUACAUGAAAAUUCAAAUAUGCCUUUGAAUUCUUCUUAAAAAUAGGCACGAACUUUCCGGACAACCCAAUGUAUUCACAGAUAUAUUAGGUGUACUGGAAAGUAACGUCGUUUGUGCAAUUUUAAAUAAACUCGUUUAUCACUCAUGAGUUCACUGAUUUUUAUCGACAUGGCGUUGAAAAUUGGCACACUAAAUGGCAAAAGACUGUUGAUAACGAAGUCGAUUACAUGAUUGAUUAAAAAUAGAAAUUUAUUAAAAAUUUAUUUGAAUUUAAUGUAAAAGAAACGACAUUACUUUCCAGUCUACCUAAUAUAUAUGCACAAUUCAACUUGUACAAUUUUGUUAUAUUUACAAAUUUAGUUUUUACAAUUAUAAAUUACAAGCAUGCAUUAUUCAUAUAUGUGCAUAUACAUACGCACGCAUAAAUAUUAAUAAAACAAACGUACACGUACAAAGAUCUAUUUCUCUAUUUCUCAGCAAAGUCAUUUACAAGAGAAAAAUAGAUCCGUACAAUACACAUUAUUUCGGAUGAUGUACCCAAAAACUUUUUGCGAGCCGAGGCUAAUGAGAACUGCAAACGUCAUACGCAGACACACGGUCUCGUCGUUCGUGACAGUACAAAGUCUCGAAACGCAGAGCGCAACGCGUCUAAUUGCGUCACGAAAGCUAAAAUAACUGGUGCGUUGCUAGACGAUCGAAGUUUCGACACGCGGCAAAUAAUGUCCGCAGUCGAAACACGUGAGAAAGGGUAAAAGUGAUAAUUACACGAUGCGUGACCUUUUGAACUUGCGCGCCAUGUCGAUGGUUGAACAUCGAAAGCCACGAGAACGAUACCGAUUCGUUCGACGGAACCGUUCUUGGCGAAUAUCGUGCAUUGCACACGUACAGAUAUUAUUUGCAAUUAAAAUCGAAUGUAGAUAAACACACCUAGGUAAAUAUAGAGGUCAGCGCUUGAAAUGUCUAUGCGGAGUCUAAUCAGUCGUAUAUCAGAGGUUGCAGCUAAAAAAUCUCUUUAAUUGCAGCAGCGUAGGGUAACAUUUACAGAGAGUUGGCAUUUUUAUUUUCUCAUAACCCCAUCUAUGAUAUCUCUAUAUGUAUUAGGUUGUCCCAAAAGUUUCUUUCGCUUUAUUAAUAAGUAAUACAUGCACAAUAUUUUAUGUUUUAUGUUACAUUACUAAAUUGUGCACGAUUCAUUUUGCUCCAUUACUGUUACAACACGAAUAUCUAUGAAAUUAGAUUGUCUAUGUAUAUAAACACGACCAUAGAAAAUAAUUGAGCGCAACUCGCGAAAGAAACUUUCGGGACAACCUAAUACUUUAUGCUUGCACAUCCAGAAUUAAAUAAACGCGAACGGAAUAGAAUGUUUACCGACGACGAUAAUAUCGACUCAAUUACGCAACAAACGUGACUCCGUGACUAAUAUCAACCGAACUUAACCUAAUAACCUAGACAAUGGUAACGUUCGAAGUUCGGCACUUAUCGCCAAUUAUAGAGUCUAACCUUAUUCAAGUGCACGGAUCGAUAAGAAGAUCGUAGUCGGAGAUCGGCAGUAAUUUAUUCGAAUGACACACGGAUACAAACUCGACGUAGAGAUUUAUUCGCGACGCUUUUUUUUUUUUUUUUCGUAUAAAGUGUUAGCCAGAUAAGCGUUUACUGCUUCAGCAUGAAAGAUAAUACGAUUAUGUAAUUCGGAUUCGUAAUUCUUAUUGAACGAAUAAUGCAUCGAAGUUAUGAGAAUCACUGUUCGUGGGAUGUAAAUUCAAAUUGGAAACGUUUAAUUAUAUUUAAAUACGCAAAUGUAAGUCGAGAUAACGAGGCCAAAAGGGAGAAAAUAAUUUUUGAAUGAACUGUAUAAUAGAAAAAUGAAGAAUGACACAUGAAAAGUCGUUUAGUAUCUUUUAAUGGCCAUUCAAUGUUUUUCUUAUUUCGACAGGAGUUUUGUUUAUUUUUGAUAUCGUGACCUAAACUUGAAUGAGAAUGAGUACGAAUGAGAACCGCUAACGAUCGAGCCCCUUGGUCGACGACCGGUCGAACCAAUCGCGAGUCCGCUGAGAACCGACGCCUACAAAUUGCACCAAUCAGAGCCACGGUUCUGCGAAGGCGCGUUCUACGUAUCUGCUUUCUCUGAAGGACCAGCGCCUUUGAUGACGUUUCAUACGACCAUGCAAUCGUGCCAGGUAGCACGAAUUUUAUUAUGAACCGUUCGUACACUGGUCACAAUAAAAUACAUAUUUGAGUUCGUUUGCGAGUUGAAUGGAAUACAGUAUACAGGGUGUCACAAAAAUGUUGUAACACCUUGAAAGAGGUGGUUCGGGAGGUGAUUUGAAACAACUUUUUCCUUAGCGAAAAUGUUGUCCGAGGCUUCGUUAAGGAGAUAUUAACGGAAAACACUGACCAAUCAGAGCGCGCGUAUACCGUUGGAGCGGCCGUGGUAGCGAAAGCUACGCGUUAGACGGCUGCGGCAAUGUCUUUCGAUUAGAGAUCACGGUUUUGAACGGGUAUUAAAAUACACGGGUAUAUGGAACACGUGUACCGUGCAUUAAGGGAUUAAGAACACGGGUAUUUUUAAUACACGGGUACUCGAGUGUCGAAAUACACGGAUAUCCAGGUACGUACACGUGCAUCGAAAUACACGAGUACGCAUACAUCGAAUGAUCUAUUAUUACCCGUGACUUGAAUAUUUAUUUUAACUAGUAAAUAAAGUUUUACAAAUUACACUAAAAAAUUUAUUCUUUUAUACUUAUUCUUCUUAUGUUUAUAUUUUUUUAUUUAUUUAUUUUACUGCAUAUCAAUUUUUUUCAAAAUUAAUAAGGAUCAUUAUUUUAGAAUAAUAUAGCAGUUUUACAUAAAAGUUUGUAUAUAAAAAUAAUUGGAUAUCGUGCCCGUAUAAUACGAUGUAUGCGUGCCCGUGUCUUUCGAUGGACGUAUACGUACCUGGAUAUCCGCGCAUUUCGAUACCCAGGUAUUCAUGUAUUAAGAAUACACGGAUUAAAACACGGAUCCAUUAAUUACCCGUGUACCCGGGUAUCUCGAUACACGUGAAGUAGGGAUCUCUACUUUCGAUACACGUCGAGUAACUUGUUCCCGUACGAGCGCGGUCGCCUAGCGCAUAGCCUUCGCUACCACAGCCGCUCCAACGGUAUACGCGCGCCCUGAUUGGUCGACGUUUUCCGUUAAUAUCUCCUCAACGAAGCCUCGAACAACAUUUUUGCUAAAGAAAAAAUUGUUUCAAAUCACCUCCCGAACCACCCCUUUCAAGGUGUUACAACAUUUUUGGAAACUCUGUGUAUUUUGCAAUCACCACAAGCAUUACGUGGAAUUAUCCUGUAUCAAUGUACAGUGGUGCGAGUAAUUCUAGGUUCAAAUUUUAAAUAUUAAGCAUUUACCUUUGAACCUUUGAAUUAUUCAUACUCACUGGGUUUCCAUCCCAAUUACUGCAUCUCAUUUUGUUCAGAGAACAUUUCUUAACUGUUUCGUUCGAGCCAUUUGCAAAAUUAUAACGUAUAAUAGCUAUUCUUUUAAACGAAAAUUUUUAGGUGUCCCGAUGAUUUAUUUUUAUCUACUUAAACGCGUUAUAUCCCAAUUAUUUACGGUAAAAUGCUUAAAACGAAAACCAGCAUUGUCUGGAUUAAUGGGAUAUCGUUAUUUAAUGAUUCAAUGGGGAAGCCAGGAAUGUUUGUUGAAGAACACGUUUUACAACGGCUAAACAAAUCUAAUAAUAUCAUUUGGUCGACCCUCUAACUCAUUUUAAAAUCAUUUCUGGCAACUUCUCAAUUGUGACAUUGCCAUACUAAAUGUACCCAACGUUACUUAAGACUACGCGAAAUCUCAUUCAAGUCAAUAUAUGUUCCGUUCGUGGAUUGAUACCAGAUUGGACAAUUUAAUAGUAAAAAAAAAAAAAAUAA